rnacentral:rRNA from 1 species
GUGCGCAGGCGGUUUGGUUAAGUACUGUCGUGAAAUACCCCGGGCCGUCAACCUGGGAAUGGCGAUGGUGACUGCAAGGCUAGAGUUUGGCAGAGGGGGGUAGGAAUUCCACGUGUAGCAGUGAAAUGCGUAGAUAUGUGGAGGAACACCGAUGGCGAAGGCAGCCCCCUGGGUCAAAACUGACGCUCAUGCACGAAAGCGUGGGGAGCAAACAGGAUUAGAUACCUAGU